rnacentral:lncRNA from 1 species
GGGUAUCAGGUUAUGGGGCUAUGGUAAGGUUUAAGGUUUUUGGCGUUACGGUUAAAAUCACUCUCCAAAACCUUUGUAGGAACUGUUUCUAAACUUUUGGAGUCAGUUAGACCCAAAAAAAAAGAGAAAUGAAAAAAAAAUAUUUGGGGUUUUCAGGCUUCCUGGAGGUAAUACCCUAAUAUUAGGUUUUGGGGCUAGGGUAAGGUUUGAGGUUUUUGGCGUUAGGGUUAAAAUCACUGUCCAAAACCUUUUUAGGAACAUGUUUCAGACCUUUUGGAGUUGGUUACAUACAAAAAAAAUGUAAAAUGAAAAAAAAAAUAUUUGGGGUGUUCGGGCUUCCUGAAGGUAAUACCCGGGUAUUAGGUUAUGGGGCUAUGGUAAGGUUUAAGGUUUUUGACGUUAGGGUGAAAAUAACUUUCCAAAACCUUUGUAGGAACUCUUUUCCAACCUUAUGGAGUUCGUUAGACCAAAAAAAAAGAAAAAUGAAAAAAAAAUAUUUGGGGUGUUCGGGCUUCCUGAAGGUAAUACCCGGGUAUUAGGUUUUGGGGCUUAGGAAAUGUUUAAGGUUUUUGGCGUUAGGGUUAAAAUCACUGUCCAAAAACCUUUGUAGGAACUCUUUUCCAACCUUUUGGAGUUAGGUUGACCAAAAAAAAAAAGAAAAAAGAAAAAAAAUGUAUUUGGGGUGUUCGGGCUUCCUGAAGGUAAUACCCGGGUAUUAGGUUAUGGGGCUUUGGAAAGUUUUAGGGUUUUUGGCAUCAGGGUUAAAAUCACUGUCCAAAAACCUUUGUAGGAACUCUUUUCCAACCUUUUGGAGUUAGUUAGACCAAAAAAAAAAGAAAAAAGGAAUAAAAAAUAUUUGGGGUGUUCGGGCUUCCUGAAGGUAAUACCCGGGUAUUAGGUUUUGGGGCUAGGGUAAGGUUUGAGGUUUUUGGCAUUAGGGUUAAAAUCACUGUCCAAAACCUUUUUAGGAACACGUUUCAGACCUUUUGGAGUUGGUUACAUAAAUGAAAAAAAAAAUAUUUGGGGUGUUCGGGCUUCCUGAAGGUAAUACCCGGGUAUUAGGUUAUGGGGCUAUGGUAAGGUUUAAGGUUUUUGACGUUAGGGUGAAAAUAACUUUCCAAAACCUUUGUAGGAACUCUUUUCCAACCUUAUGGAGUUCGUUAGACCAAAAAAAAAGAAAAAUGAAAAAAAAAUAUUUGGGGUGUUCGGGCUUCCUGAAGGUAAUACCCGGGUAUUAGGUUAUGGGGCUUAGGAAAUGUUUAAGGUUUUUGGCGUUAGGGUUAAAAUCACUGUCCAAAAACCUUUGUAGGAACUCUUUUCCAACCUUUUGGAGUUAGGUUGACCAAAAAAAAAAAAAAAAAGAAAAAAAAAUAUUUGGGGUGUUCGGGCUUCCUGAAGGUAAUACCCGGGUAUUAGGUUUUGGUGCUAGGGUAAGGUUUGAGGUUUUUGGCAUUAGGGUUAAAAUCACUGUCCAAAACCUUUUUAGGAACACCUUUCAGACCUUUUGGAGUUUGUACACCAAAAAAAAAAUGUAAAAUGAAAAAAAAAUAUUUGUGGUGUUCGGGCUUCCUGAAGGUAAUACCCGGGUAUCAGGUUAUGGGGCUAUGGUAAGGUUUAAGGUUUUUGGCGUUAGGGUUAAAAUCACUGUCCAAAACCUUUGUAGGAACUCUUUUCCAAACUUUUGGAGUCAGUUAGACCAAAAAAAAAUGAAAAAUGAAAUAAAAAAUAUUUGUGGUGUUCGGGCUUCCUGAAGGUAAUACCCGGGUAUCAGGUUAUGGGGCUAUGGUAAGGUUUAAGGUUUUAGACGUUAGGGUGAAAAUCACUGUCCAAAACCUUUGUAGGAACUCUUUUCCAACCUUAUGGAGUUCGUUAGACCAAAAAAAAAAGAAAAAUGAAAAAAAAAUAUUUGGGGUGUUUAUGCUUCCUGAAGGUAAUACCCGGGUAUUAGGUUAUGGGGCUUAGGAAAUGUUAAAGGUUUUUGGCAUUAGGGUUAAAAUCACUGUCCAAAAACCUUUGUAGGAACUCUUUUCCAACCUUUUGGAGUUAGGUUGACCAAAAAAAAAAAGAAAAAAGAAAAAAAAAUAUUUGGGGUGUUCGGGCUUCCUGAAGGUAAUACCCGGGUAUUAGGUUUUGGUGCUAGGGUAAGGUUUGAGGUUUUUGGCAUUAGGGUUAAAAUCACUGUCCAAAACCUUUUUAGGAACACCUUUCAGAGCUUUUGGAGUUUGUACACCAAAAAAAAAAUGUGGAAAAAAGAAAAAAAAAUAUUUGGGGUGUUCGGGCUUCCUGAAGGUAAUACCCGGGUAUUAGGUUUUGGUGCUAGGGUAAGGUUUGAGGUUUUUGGCAUUAGGGUUAAAAUCACUGUCCAAAACCUUUUAGGAACACGUUUCAGACCUUUUGGAGUUUGUACACCGAAAAAAAAAUGUAAAAUGAAAAAAAAAUAUUUGGGGUGUUCGGGCUUCCUGAAGGUAAUACCCGGGUAUCAGGUUAUGGGGCUAUGGUAAGGUUUAAGGUUUUUGGCGUUAGGGUUAAAAUCACUGUCCAAAACCUUUGUAGGAACUCUUUUCCAAACUUUUGGAGUCAGUUAGACCAAAAAAAAAGAAAAAUGAAAUAAAAAAUAUUUGGGGUGUUCGGGCUUCCUGAAGGUAAUACCCGGGUAUUAGGUUAUGGGGCUUAGGAAAUGUUUAAGGUUUUUGGCGUUAGGGUUAAAAUCACUGUCCAAAAACCUUUGUAGGAACUCUUUUCCAACCUUUUGGAGUUAGGUUGACCAAAAAAAAAAAGAAAAAAGAAAAAAAAAUAUUUGGGGUGUUCGGGCUUCCUGAAGGGUAUUAGGUUUUGGGGCUAGGGUAAGGUUUGAGGUUUUUGGCAUUAGGGUUAAAAUCACUGUCCAAAACCUUUUUAGGAACACCUUUCAGACCUUUUGGAGUUUGUACACCGAAAAAAAAAUGUAAAAUUAAAAAAAAAUAUUUGGGGUGUUCGGGCUUCCUGAAGGUAAUACCCGGGUAUCAGGUUAUGGGGCUAUGGUAAGGUUUGGUCUAACGAACUCCAUUUGGGGUGUUCGGGCUUCCUGAAGGGUAUUAGGUUUUGGGGCUAGGGUAAGGUUUGAGGUUUUUGGCAUUAGGGUUAAAAUCACUGUCCAAAAACCUUUGUAGGAACUCUUUUCCAACCUUAUGGAGUUCGUUAGACCAAAAAAAAAAGAAAAAUGAAAAAAAAAUAUUUGGGGUGUUCAGGCUUCCUGAAGGUAAUACCCGGGUAUUAGGUUAUGGGGCUUUGGAAAGUUUUAGGGUUUUUGGCAUCAGGGUUAAAAUCACUGUCCAAAAACCUUUGUAGGAACUCUUUUCCAACCUUUUGGAGUUAGUUAGACCAAAAAAAAAAGAAAAAAGGAAUAAAAAAUAUUUGGGGUGUUCGGGCUUCCUGAAGGUAAUACCCGGGUAUUAGGUUUUGGGGCUAGGGUAAGGUUUGAGGUUUUUGGCAUUAGGGUUAAAAUCACUGUCCAAAACCUUUUUAGGAACACGUUUCAGACCUUUUGGAGUUUGUACACCGAAAAAAAAAUGUAAAAUUAAAAAAAAAUAUUUGGGGUGUUCGGGCUUCCUGAAGGUAAUACCCGGGUAUCAGGUUAUGGGGCUAUGGUAAGGUUUAAGGUUUUUGGCGUUACGGUUAAAAUCACUGUCCAAAACCUUUGUAGGAACUGUUUCUAAACUUUUGGAGUCAGUUAGACCCAAAAAAAAGAGAAAUGAAAAAAAAAUAUUUGGGGUUUUCAGGCUUCCUGGAGGUAAUACCCUAAUAUUAGGUUUUGGGGCUAGGGUAAGGUUUGAGGUUUUUGGCGUUAGGGUUAAAAUCACUGUCCAAAAACCUUUGUAGGAACUCUUUUCCAACCUUUUGGAGUUAGGUUGACCAAAAAAAAAAAGAAAAAAGAAAAAAAAUGUAUUUGGGGUGUUCGGGCUUCCUGAAGGUAAUACCCGGGUAUUAGGUUAUGGGGCUUUGGAAAGUUUUAGGGUUUUUGGCAUCAGGGUUAAAAUCACUGUCCAAAAACCUUUGUAGGAACUCUUUUCCAACCUUUUGGAGUUAGUUAGACCAAAAAAAAAAGAAAAAAGGAAUAAAAAAUAUUUGGGGUGUUCGGGCUUCCUGAAGGUAAUACCCGGGUAUUAGGUUUUGGGGCUAGGGUAAGGUUUGAGGUUUUUGGCAUUAGGGUUAAAAUCACUGUCCAAAACCUUUUUAGGAACACGUUUCAGACCUUUUGGAGUUGGUUACAUACAAAAAAAAUGUAAAAUGAAAAAAAAAAUAUUUGGGGUGUUCGGGCUUCCUGAAGGUAAUACCCGGGUAUUAGGUUAUGGGGCUAUGGUAAGGUUUAAGGUUUUUGACGUUAGGGUGAAAAUAACUUUCCAAAACCUUUGUAGGAACUCUUUUCCAACCUUAUGGAGUUCGUUAGACCAAAAAAAAAAAGAAAAAUGAAAAAAAAAUAUUUGGGGUGUUCGGGCUUCCUGAAGGUAAUACCCGGGUAUUAGGUUAUGGGGCUUAGGAAAUGUUAAAGGUUUUUGGCGUUAGGGUUAAAAUCACUGUCCAAAAACCUUUGUAGGAACUCUUUUCCAACCUUUUGGAGUUAGGUUGACCAAAAAAAAAAAGAAAAAAGAAAAAAAAAUAUUUGGGGUGUUCGGGCUUCCUGAAGGUAAUACCCGGGUAUUAGGUUUUGGUGCUAGGGUAAGGUUUGAGGUUUUUGGCAUUAGGGUUAAAAUCACUGUCCAAAACCUUUUUAGGAACACCUUUCAGACCUUUUGGAGUUUGUACACCAAAAAAAAAAUGUAAAAUGAAAAAAAAAUAUUUGUGGUGUUCGGGCUUCCUGAAGGUAAUACCCGGGUAUCAGGUUAUGGGGCUAUGGUAAGGUUUAAGGUUUUUGGCGUUAGGGUUAAAAUCACUGUCCAAAACCUUUGUAGGAACUCUUUUCCAAACACGGAGUCAGUUAGACCAAAAAAAAAAUGAAAAAUGAAAUAAAAAAUAUUUGGGGUGUUCAGGCUUCCUGAAGGUAAUAGGUUAUGGGGCUAUGGUAAGGUUUAAGGUUUUUGGCGUUAGGGUUAAAAUCACUGUCCAAAACCUUUGUAGGAACUCUUUUCCAAACUUUUGGAGUCAGUUAGACCAAAAAACAAUGAAAAAUGAAAUAAAAAAUAUUUGGGGUGUUCAGGCUUCCUGAAGGUAAUACCCGGGUAUUAGGUUAUGGGGCUUUGGAAAGUUUUAGGGUUUUUGGCAUCAGGGUUAAAAUCACUGUCCAAAAACCUUUGUAGGAACUCUUUUCCAACCUUUUGGAGUUAGUUAGACCAAAAAAAAAAGAAAAAAGGAAUAAAAAAUAUUUGGGGUGUUCGGGCUUCCUGAAGGUAAUACCCGGGUAUUAGGUUUUGGGGCUAGGGUAAGGUUUGAGGUUUUUGGCAUUAGGGUUAAAAUCACUGUCCAAAACCUUUUUAGGAACACGUUUCAGACCUUUUGGAGUUUGUACACCGAAAAAAAAAUGUAAAAUUAAAAAAAAAUAUUUGGGGUGUUCGGGCUUCCUGAAGGUAAUACCCGGGUAUCAGGUUAUGGGGCUAUGGUAAGGUUUAAGGUUUUUGGCGUUAGGGUUAAAAUCACUGUCCAAAACCUUUGUAGGAACUCUUUUCCAAACUUUUGGAGUCAGUUAGACCAAAAAAAAAUGAAAAAUGAAAUAAAAAAUAUUUGGGGUGUUCGGGCUUCCUGAAGGUAAUACCCGGGUAUUAGGUUAUGGGGCUUAGGAAAUGUUUAAGGUUUUUGGCGUUAGGGUUAAAAUCACUGUCCAAAAACCUUUGUAGGAACUCUUUUCCAACCUUUUGGAGUUAGGUUGACCAAAAAAAAAAAGAAAAAAGAAAAAAAAAUAUUUGGGGUGUUCGGGCUUCCUGAAGGUAAUACCCGGGUAUUAGGUUUUGGUGCUAGGGUAAGGUUUGAGGUUUUUGGCAUUAGGGUUAAAAUCACUGUCCAAAACCUUUUUAGGAACACCUUUCAGACCUUUUGGAGUUUGUACACCAAAAAAAAAAUGUAAAAUGAAAAAAAAAUGUUUGUGGUGUUCGGGCUUCCUGAAGGUAAUACCCGGGUAUCAGGUUAUGGGGCUAUGGUAAGGUUUAAGGUUUUUGGCGUUAGGGUUAAAAUCACUGUCCAAAACCUUUGUAGGAACUCUUUUCCAAACUUUUGGAGUCAGUUAGACCAAAAAAAAAUGAAAAAUGAAAUAAAAAAUAUUUGGGGUGUUCAGGCUUCCUGAAGGUAAUACCCGGGUAUUAGGUUAUGGGGCUUUGGAAAGUUUUAGGGUUUUUGGCAUCAGGGUUAAAAUCUCUGUCCAAAAACCUUUGUAGGAACUCUUUUCCAACCUUUUGGAGUUAGUUAGACCAAAAAAAAAGAAAAAUGAAAAAAAAAUAUUUGGGGUGUUCGGGCUUCCUGAAGGUAAUACCCGGGUAUUAGGUUAUGGGGCUUAGGAAAUGUUUAAGGUUUUUGGCGUUAGGGUUAAAAUCACUGUCCAAAAACCUUUGUAGGAACUCUUUUCCAACCUUUUGGAGUUAGGUUGACCAAAAAAAAAAGAAAAAAAAAUAUUUGGGGUGUUCGGGCUUCCUGAAGGUAAUACCCGGGUAUUAGGUUUUGGUGCUAGGGUAAGGUUUGAGGUUUUUGGCAUUAGGGUUAAAAUCACUGUCCAAAACCUUUUUAGGAACACCUUUCAGACCUUUUGGAGUUUGUACACCAAAAAAAAAUGUAAAAUGAAAAAAAAAUAUUUGGGGUGUUCGGGCUUCCUGAAGGUAAUACCCGGGUAUCAGGUUAUGGGGCUAUGGUAAGGUUUAAGGUUUUUGGCGUUAGGGUUAAAAUCACUGUCCAAAACCUUUGUAGGAACUCUUUUCCAAACUUUUGGAGUUAGUUAGACCAAAAAAAAAAAGAAAAAAGGAAUAAAAAAUAUUUGGGGUGUUCGGGCUUCCUGAAGGUAAUACCCGGGUAUUAGGUUAUGGGGCUUUGGAAAGUUUUAGGGUUUUUGGCAUCAGGGUUAAAAUCACUGUCCAAAAACCUUUGUAGGAACUCUUUUCCAACCUUUUGGAGUUAGUUAGACCAAAAAAAAAAGAAAAAAGGAAUAAAAAAUAUUUGGGGUGUUCGGGCUUCCUGAAGGUAAUACCCGGGUAUUAGGUUUUGGGGCUAGGGUAAGGUUUGAGGUUUUUGGCAUUAGGGUUAAAAUCACUGUCCAAAACCUUUUUAGGAACACGUUUCAGACCUUUUGGAGUUUGUACACCGAAAAAAAAAUUUAAAAUUAAAAAAAAAUAUUUGGGGUGUUCGGGCUUCCUGAAGGUAAUACCCGGGUAUCAGGUUAUGGGGCUAUGGUAAGGUUUAAGGUUUUUGGCGUUAGGGUUAAAAUCACUGUUCAAAAACCUUUAUAGGAACUCUUUUCAACCUUUUGGAGUUAGGUUGACCAAAAAAAAAAAGAAAAAAGAAAAAAAAAUAUUUGGGGUGUUCAGGCUUCCUGAAGGUAAUACCCGGGUAUUAGGUUAUGGGGCUUAGGAAAUGUUUAAGGUUUUUGGCGUUAGGGUUAAAAUCACUGUCCAAAAACCUUUGUAGGAACUCUUUUCCAACCUUUUGGAGUUAGGUUGACCAAAAAAAAAAAGAAAAAAAAAUAUUUGGGGUGUUCGGGCUUCCUGAAGGUAAUACCCGGGUAUUAGGUUUUGGUGCUAUGGUAAGGUUUGAGGUUUUUGGCAUUAGGGUUAAAAUCACUGUCCAAAACCUUUUUAGGAACACCUUUCAGACCUUUUGGAGUUUGUACACCAAAAAAAAAAUGUAAAAAGAAAAAUGAAAAAAAAAUAUUUGGGGUGUUCGGGCUUCCUGAAGGUAAUACCCCGGUAUUAGGUUUUGGGGCUAGGGUAAGGUUUGAGGUUUUUGGCAUUAGGGUUAAAAUCACUGUCCAAAACCUUUUUAGGAACACGUUUCAGACCUUUUGGAGUUUGUACACCGAAAAAAAAAUGUAAAAUUAAAAAAAAAUAUUUGGGGUGUUCGGGCUUCCUGAAGGUAAUACCCGGGUAUCAGGUUAUGGGGCUAUGGUAAGGUUUAAGGUUUUUGGCAUUACGGUUAAAAUCACUGUCCAAAACCUUUGUAGGAACUGUUUCUAAACUUUUGGAGUCAGUUAGACCCAAAAAAAAGAGAAAUGAAAAAAAAAUAUUUGGGGUUUUCAGGCUUCCUGGAGGUAAUACCCUAAUAUUAGGUUUUGGGGCUAGGGUAAGGUUUGAGGUUUUUGGCGUUAGGGUUAAAAUCACUGUCCAAAACCUUUUUAGGAACAUGUUUCAGACCUUUUGGAGUUGGUUACAUACAAAAAAAAUGUAAAAUGAAAAAAAAAAUAUUGGGGUGUUCGGGCUUCCUGAAGGUAAUACCCGGGUAUUAGGUUAUUGGGCUAUGGUAAGGUUAAAGGUUUUUGAUGUUAGGGUGAAAAUCACUGUCCAAAACCUUUGUAGGAACUGUUUCUAAACUUUUGGAGUCAGUUAGACCCAAAAAAAAGAGAAAUGAAAAAAAAAAUAUUUGGGGUGUUCGGGCUUCCUGAAGGUAAUACCCGGGUAUUAGGUUAUGGGGCUUAGGAAAUGUUUAAGGUUUUUGGCGUUAGGGUUAAAAUCACUGUCCAAAAACCUUUGUAGGAACUCUUUUCCAACCUUUUGGAGUUAGGUUGACCAAAAAAAAAAAGAAAAAAGAAAAAAAAAUAUUUGGGGUGUUCGGGCUUCCUGAAGGUAAUACCCGGGUAUUAGGUUUUGGUGCUAGGGUAAGGUUUGAGGUUUUUGGCAUUAGGGUUAAAAUCACUGUCCAAAACCUUUUUAGGAACACCUUUCAGACCUUUUGGAGUUUGUACACCGAAAAAAAAAUGUAAAAAGAAAAAAGAAAAAAAAAUAUUUGGGGUGUUCGGGCUUCCUGAAGGUAAUACCCGGGAAUUAGGUUUUGGGGCUAGGGUAAGGUUUGAGGUUUUUAGCAUUAGGGUUAAAAUCACUGUCCAAAACCUUUUUAGGAACACGUUUCAGACCUUUUGGAGUUUGUACACCGAAAAAAAAAUGUAAAAUUAAAAAAAAAUAUUUGGGGUGUUCGGGCUUCCUGAAGGUAAUACCCGGGUAUCAGGUUAUGGGGCUAUGGUAAGGUUUAAGGUUUUUGGCGUUACGGUUAAAAUCACUGUCCAAAACCUUUGUAGGAACUGUUUCUAAACUUUUGGAGUCAGUUAGACCCAAAAAAAAGAGAAAUGAAAAAAAAAUAUUUGGGGUUUUCAGGCUUCCUGGAGGUAAUACCCUAAUAUUAGGUUUUGGGGCUAGGGUAAGGUUUGAGGUUUUUGGCGUUAGGGUUAAAAUCACUGUCCAAAACCUUUUUAGGAACAUGUUUCAGACCUUUUGGAGUUGGUUACAUACAAAAAAAAUGUAAAAUGAAAAAAAAAAUAUUGGGGUGUUCGGGCUUCCUGAAGGUAAUACCCGGGUAUUAGGUUAUUGGGCUAUGGUAAGGUUUAAGGUUUUUGACGUUAGGGUGAAAAUCACUGUCCAAAACCUUUGUAGGAACUCUUUUCCAACCUUAUGGAGUUCGUUAGACCAAAAAAAAAAAAAAAUGAAAAAAAAAUAUUUGGGGUGUUCGGGCUUCCUGAAGGUAAUACCCGGGUAUUAGGUUUUGGUGCUAGGGUAAGGUUUGAGGUUUUUGGCAUUAGGGUUAAAAUCACUGUCCAAAACCUUUUUAGGAACACCUUUCAGACCUUUUGGAGUUUGUACACCAAAAAAAAAAUGUAAAAUGAAAAAAAAAAAUUUGGGGUGUUCGGGCUUCCUGAAGGUAAUACCCGGGUAUCAGGUUAUGGGGCUAUGGUAAGGUUUAAGGUUUUUUACGUUAGGGUGAACAUAACUUUCCAAAACCUUUGUAGGAACUCUUUUCCAACCUUAUGGAGUUCGUUAGACCAAAAAAAAAUGAAAAAUGAAAUAAAAAAUAUUUGGGGUGUUCAGGCUUCCUGAAGGUAAUACCCGGGUAUUAGGUUAUGGGGCUUAGGAAAUGUUUAAGGUUUUUGGCGUUAGGGUUAAAAUCACUGUCCAAAAACCUUUGUAGGAACUCUUUUCCAACCUUUUGGAGUUAGGUUGACCAAAAAAAAAAAGAAAAAAGAAAAAAAAAUAUUUGGGGUGUUCGGGCUUCCUGAAGGUAAUACCCGGGUAUUAGGUUUUGGUGCUAGGGUAAGGUUUAAGGUUUUUGGCAUUAGGGUGAAAAUAACUUUCCAAAACCUUUGUAGGAACACCUUUCAGACCUUUUGGAGUUUGUACACCAAAAAAAAAAUGUAAAAAGAAAAAAGAAAAAAAAAUAUUUGGGGUGUUUGGGCUUCCUGAAGGUAAUACCCGGGUAUUAGGUUUUGGGGCUAGGGUAAGGUUUGAGGUUUUUGGCAUUAGGGUUAAAAUCACUGUCCAAAACCUUUUUAGGAACACGUUUCAGACCUUUUGGAGUUUGUACACCGAAAAAAAAAUGUAAAAUUAAAAAAAAAUAUUUGGGGUGUUCGGGCUUCCUGAAGGUAAUACCCGGGUGUCAGGUUAUGGGGCUAUGGUAAGGUUUAAGGUUUUUGGCGUUACGGUUAAAAUCACUGUCCAAAACCUUUGUAGGAACUGUUUCUAAACUUUUGGAGUCAGUUAGACCCAAAAAAAAGAGAAAUGAAAAAAAAAUAUUUGGGGUUUUCAGGCUUCCUGGAGGUAAUACCCUAAUAUUAGGUUUUGGGGCUAGGGUAAGGUUUGAGGUUUUUGGCGUUAGGGUUAAAAUCACUGUCCAAAACCUUUUUAGGAACAUGUUUCAGACCUUUUGGAGUUGGUUACAUACAAAAAAAAUGUAAAAUGAAAAAAAAAAUAUUUGGGGUGUUUGGGCUUCCUGAAGGUAAUACCCAUUUUGCAAAUAAUUUUUUCAGCGACUUCAGAAUAUCGAAUUUUUUACCAGGCCCGGUCGUCCUGCCAAAUUUCAUGAGUUUUCGCCAGUGGGAAGUGGGCCAUUUUCCCCUUCAAAGGGGAGGAAAAAUAAGAAAAAGAAAGAAAGAAAGAAAGACUAGGGCCCCGUUGGGGCACUGGCGGGCCCGAGCCGUGUCGCGCACCCCCCCCCCAACGCGAUC